UUUGACUUUUUGUAGAGAUGAAAUCUUGCUAUGUUCCCCAGGCUGGUCUUGAACUCCUGGCAUCAAGUGAUCCUCUCUUUUUGGUCUACCAAAGUGCUGGGAUUACAGCACUUUGGCAUGAGCCACUAUGCCUGACCAAUGAAAUUUGAGGUGGGAAACGGAGCACCCAGGCUGAAGUGAAGCCUGGGCCUCUGAUGAAUGGAACGUGUGUGCAUGUGAAACUGCCUUUGCAAAGAUG
rnacentral:lncRNA from 10 species